GUCUACUGCCAUGCCACCCUGAACAUGCCUAAUCUCGUCUGAUCUUGGAAGCUAAGCAGAAUAAGACCUGGUUAGUACUUGAAUGGGAGACCACCUAGGAAUACCAGGUGCUGUAGGUG
rnacentral:rRNA from 1 species